rnacentral:miRNA from 1 species
UGGAGAACACCACGGUUCA